rnacentral:rRNA from 1 species
UUAAGCGACUAAGCGUACACGGUGGAUGCCCUGGCAGUCAGAGGCGAUGAAGGACGUGCUAAUCUGCGAAAAGCGUCGGUAAGGUGAUAUGAACCGUUAUAGCCGGCGAUGUCCGAAUGGGGAAACCCAGUGCAAUUCGUUGCACUAUCGUUAACUGAAUACAUAGGUUAACGAGGCGAACCGGGGGAACUGAAACAUCUAAGUACCCCGAGGAAAAGAAAUCAACCGAGAUUCCCCCAGUAGCGGCGAGCGAACGGGGAGCAGCCCAGAGUCUGAAUCAGCUUGUGUGUUAGUGGAACGGUCUGGAAAGUCCGACGGUACAGGGUGAUAGUCCCGUACACCAAAAUGCACAGGCUGUGAACUCGAAGAGUAGGGCGGGACACGUGGUAUCCUGUCUGAAUAUGGGGGGACCAUCCUCCAAGGCUAAAUACUCCUGACUGACCGAUAGUGAACCAGUACCGUGAGGGAAAGGCGAAAAGAACCCCGGCGAGGGGAGUGAAAAAGAACCUGAAACCGUGUACGUACAAGCAGUGGGAGCACCUUCGGGUGUGACUGCGUACCUUUUGUAUAAUGGGUCAGCGACUUAUAUUCUGUAGCAAGGUUAACCGUAUAGGGGAGCCGCAGGGAAACCGAGUCUUAACUGGGCGUUAAGUUGCAGGGUAUAGACCCGAAACCCGGUGAUCUAGCCAUGGGCAGGUUGAAGGUUGGGUAACACUAACUGGAGGACCGAACCGACUAAUGUUGAAAAAUUAGCGGAUGACUUGUGGCUGGGGGUGAAAGGCCAAUCAAACCGGGAGAUAGCUGGUUCUCCCCGAAAGCUAUUUAGGUAGCGCCUCGUGAACUCAUCUUCGGGGGUAGAGCACUGUUUCGGCUAGGGGGUCAUCCCGACUUACCAACCCGAUGCAAACUACGAAUACCGAAGAAUGUUAUCACGGGAGACACACGGCGGGUGCUAACGUCCGUCGUGAAGAGGGAAACAACCCAGACCGCCAGCUAAGGUCCCAAAGUCAUGGUUAAGUGGGAAACGAUGUGGGAAGGCACAGACAGCCAGGAUGUUGGCUUAGAAGCAGCCAUCAUUUAAAGAAAGCGUAAUAGCUCACUGGUCGAGUCGGCCUGCGCGGAAGAUGUAACGGGGCUAAACCAUGCACCGAAGCUGCGGCAGCGACACUAUGUGUUGUUGGGUAGGGGAGCGUUCUGUAAGCCUGCGAAGGUGGCCUGUGAGGGUUGCUGGAGGUAUCAGAAGUGCGAAUGCUGACAUAAGUAACGAUAAAGCGGGUGAAAAGCCCGCUCGCCGGAAGACCAAGGGUUCCUGUCCAACGUUAAUCGGGGCAGGGUGAGUCGACCCCUAAGGCGAGGCCGAAAGGCGUAGUCGAUGGGAAACAGGUUAAUAUUCCUGUACUUGGUGUUACUGCGAAGGGGGGACGGAGAAGGCUAUGUUAGCCGGGCGACGGUUGUCCCGGUUUAAGCAUGUAGGCUGGUUAUCCAGGCAAAUCCGGAUAAUCAAGGCUGAGGUGUGAUGACGAGGUACUACGGUGCUGAAGUAACAAAUGCCCUGCUUCCAGGAAAAGCCUCUAAGCAUCAGGUAACAUCAAAUCGUACCCCAAACCGACACAGGUGGUCAGGUAGAGAAUACCAAGGCGCUUGAGAGAACUCGGGUGAAGGAACUAGGCAAAAUGGUGCCGUAACUUCGGGAGAAGGCACGCUGGUGUGUAGGUGAAGUCCCUGCGGAUGGAGCUGAGACCAGUCGAAGAUACCAGCUGGCUGCAACUGUUUAUUAAAAACACAGCACUGUGCAAACACGAAAGUGGACGUAUACGGUGUGACGCCUGCCCGGUGCCGGAAGGUUAAUUGAUGGGGUUAUCCGUAAGGAGAAGCUCUUGAUCGAAGCCCCGGUAAACGGCGGCCGUAACUAUAACGGUCCUAAGGUAGCGAAAUUCCUUGUCGGGUAAGUUCCGACCUGCACGAAUGGCGUAAUGAUGGCCAGGCUGUCUCCACCCGAGACUCAGUGAAAUUGAACUCGCUGUGAAGAUGCAGUGUACCCGCGGCAAGACGGAAAGACCCCGUGAACCUUUACUAUAGCUUGACACUGAACAUUGAGCCUUGAUGUGUAGGAUAGGUGGGAGGCUUUGAAGCGUGGACGCCAGUCUGCGUGGAGCCAACCUUGAAAUACCACCCUUUAAUGUUUGAUGUUCUAACGUUGGCCCCUUAUCGGGGUUGCGGACAGUGUCUGGUGGGUAGUUUGACUGGGGCGGUCUCCUCCCAAAGCGUAACGGAGGAGCACGAAGGUUAGCUAAUCCUGGUCGGACAUCAGGAGGUUAGUGCAAUGGCAUAAGCUAGCUUGACUGCGAGCGUGACGGCGCGAGCAGGUGCGAAAGCAGGUCAUAGUGAUCCGGUGGUUCUGAAUGGAAGGGCCAUCGCUCAACGGAUAAAAGGUACUCCGGGGAUAACAGGCUGAUACCGCCCAAGAGUUCAUAUCGACGGCGGUGUUUGGCACCUCGAUGUCGGCUCAUCACAUCCUGGGGCUGAAGUAGGUCCCAAGGGUAUGGCUGUUCGCCAUUUAAAGUGGUACGCGAGCUGGGUUUAGAACGUCGUGAGACAGUUCGGUCCCUAUCUGCCGUGGGCGCUGGAGAAUUGAGGGGGGCUGCUCCUAGUACGAGAGGACCGGAGUGGACGCAUCACUGGUGUUCGGGUUGUCAUGCCAAUGGCACUGCCCGGUAGCUAAAUGCGGAAGAGAUAAGUGCUGAAAGCAUCUAAGCACGAAACUUGCCCCGAGAUGAGUUCUCCCUGAGACUUUAAGUCUCCUGAAGGAACGUUAAAGACGAUGACGUUGAUAGGCCGGGUGUGUAAGCGCAGCGAUGCGUUGAGCUAACCGGUACUAAUGAACCGUGAGGCUUAACCU